rnacentral:rRNA from 1 species
AUUGAACGCUGGCGGCAGGCCUAACACAUGCAAGUCGAGCGGAUGAAGGGAGCUUGCUCCUGGAUUCAGCGGCGGACGGGUGAGUAAUGCCUAGGAAUCUGCCUGGUAGUGGGGGAUAACGUCCGGAAACGGGCGCUAAUACCGCAUACGUCCGGAGGGAGAAAGUGGGGGAUCUUCGGACCUCACGCUAUCAGAUGAGCCUAGGUCGGAUUAGCUAGUUGGUGGGGUAAAGGCCUACCAAGGCGACGAUCCGUAACUGGUCUGAGAGGAUGAUCAGUCACACUGGAACUGAGACACGGUCCAGACUCCUACGGGAGGCAGCAGUGGGGAAUAUUGGACAAUGGGCGAAAGCCUGAUCCAGCCAUGCCGCGUGUGUGAAGAAGGUCUUCGGAUUGUAAAGCACUUUAAGUUGGGAGGAAGGGCAGUAAGUUAAUACCUUGCUGUUUUGACGUUACCAACAGAAUAAGCACCGGCUAACUUCGAG